AGGGUUUACACUUCACUCUGACUCUCAGAAUUUAAAACCUUCUCAUCAGAGUAGGCAAUAAUUCCCUCCCUUGUGUGUCCUCUGCUCACUCUCUAAAAUCAAACUGAACCACAAGCAGAAGCAUAAAACCCUAGUGGGUGUCUUGCGUUGUGUACAAUUUCUUCAUUUCUGUCUAUCUUUCUCACUUCUCAACUAAAAUGGGUUCAAGAAAUUUGGCUGUGGCAAUUGGGUUUGGGUUUUUGCUACUUGGAUUUGCAGUCUCAGACACACAGCAAGAUAAAACAGAAUGUGCAAGCCAACUUGUGGGUCUGUCGACUUGUCUUCCUUAUGUUGGUGGAACUGCUAAAGCUCCAACCUUGGAUUGCUGCGCUGGGCUUAAGCAAGUGCUAGAGAAAAGCAGAAAAUGCCUUUGUCUUCUAAUUAAAGAUCGUGAUGAUCCAACUAUUGGUGUCAAAAUCAAUGCUACUCUUGCUGCUACUCUUCCUAGUGCCUGCAACGCCCCUGCUAAUGUCACACAAUGCAUCGAUAUUCUGCACUUGUCUCCAAACUCGCCAGAUGCCAAGAUAUUUGCAGGAUUUGCCAACAUCACCAAAGGAAGCAACAGUACUGUUGCAUUGAUUUUGACACCAAUAGUUGGAUC
rnacentral:misc_RNA from 1 species